AGAGUUUGAUCCUGGCUCAGGACGAACGCUGGCGGCGUGCCUAAUACAUGCAAGUCGGGCGGGGUUUUGGGGAGCUUGCUCCUUAAAACCCAGCGGCGGACGGGUGAGUAACACGUGGGCAACCUGCCCGCAAGACCGGGAUAACUCCGGGAAACCGGGGCUAAUACCGGAUAGGACUCCGGAUCGCAUGAUCCGGGGUGGAAAGGUGGCCUUCGGCUGCCGCUUGCGGAUGGGCCCGCGGCGCAUUAGCUAGUUGGUGAGGUAACGGCUCACCAAGGUGACGAUGCGUAGCCGACCUGAGAGGGUGACCGGCCACACUGGGACUGAGACACGGCCCAGACUCCUACGGGAGGCAGCAGUAGGGAAUUUUCCGCAAUGGGCGAAAGCCUGACGGAGCAACGCCGCGUGAGCGAGGACGGCCUUCGGGUUGUAAAGCUCUGUUCUUCGGGAAGAACGGCGGGAGAGUGAACAGCUCUCUCGUUUGACGGUACCGAAGGAGAGAGCCCCGGCUAACUACGUGCCAGCAGCCGCGGUAAUAC
rnacentral:rRNA from 1 species